GACGAACGCUGGCGGCGUGCCUAACACAUGCAAGUUGAGCGACGAACCAGGGCUUGCCCUGGGGCAAAGCAGCGAACGGGUGAGUAACACGUGGGUAACGUGCCCCGAUAACCGGGACGAACCCGACGGAAACUCGGGCUAAUACCGGAUGUGCCCACCCAGACACCAGUCUGGUGUGUAAAGGAAGCUUCGGCCUCCGUAUCGGGAGCGGCCCGCCGGCCCAUUAGUUAGUUGGUGAGGUAACGGCUCACCAAGACCGCGAUGGGUAGCUGGUCUGAGAGGACGAUCAGCCACACUGGGAC
rnacentral:rRNA from 1 species